rnacentral:lncRNA from 1 species
GUGGAACUGAAUUCUUCCUUGCUUGAGCAUUUUCCAAAUUUUCCCAAUUUACUUUUGCAGGAAGAAACUCUUUGGGGGGCUGUCACUGAGAGAGGAUUUCAAAUGAGCAGCCUGUGACACCUCCCCAUGAGGAGCCCAGGCUGGCUGUGCUGGACGCUUCCCCAUGUGAGCAUCCCCAGGCUCCAAUGCCUCAGCAGAUCCCCAUGUCGGAGCAGCCCUGGACCUGCAGAACAGCACAUGGCAGAACGGCAGUGAGCCCCUAGACCAUGCCCCACACAAUGACAUGGUGGCUCCCGCUGCUGGCCCUGCGCGUG